rnacentral:Y_RNA from 1 species
GGCUGGCCUGGGGGUAGUGGAUUAUCAGAACUUAUUAACAUCAGUGUUACUGAAGUUGGUGUACAACGCCCCCCCCCCACCCCACUGGUAAAUUUGACUGGCUUUUU